UUUCCGUAGGUGAACCUGCGGAAGGAUCAUUACCGAGUUCUGAGGUCUCUUCUCGAGCCUCAACUCCCACACCAUGUGUACCUUACCUUCUGUUGCUUCGGCGAGCCGCCCUGAAAAGGGCGCCAACCCCUCUUCGCGGGUUGGAGAGUCUUGCUCGCCGGAGGACCAUGAAACUCUUGCUAAUUGAAUCGUCUGAGUAACGUUUUAAUAAAUUAAAACUUUCAACAACGGAUCUCUUGGUUCUGGCAUCGAUGAAGAACGCAGC
rnacentral:misc_RNA from 1 species